rnacentral:rRNA from 1 species
GACGGAGGAUGCAAGUGUUAUCCGGAAUCACUGGGCGUAAAGCGUCUGUAGGUGGUUUAAAAAGUCCACUGUUAAAAAUUGAAGCUUAACUUCAAAGAUGCCGUGGAAACUUUUAAACUUGAGUAUGGUAGGGGUAGAGGGAAUUUCCAGUGGAGCGGUGAAAUGCGUAGAUAUUGGAAAGACCACCAAUGGCGAAGGCACUCUACUGGGCCAUUACUGACACUGAGAGACGAAAGCUAGGGAGCAAAUGGG